GAUGAACGCUAGCGGCAGGCCUAACACAUGCAAGUCGAGGGGCAGCACGUCUUCGGAUGGUGGCGACCGGCGCACGGGUGCGUAACGCGUAUGCAACCUACCUCUUACAGUGGGAUAGCCCAGAGAAAUUUGGAUUAAUACCGCAUAGUAUACAGAUUCAGCAUUGGGACUGUAUUAAACAUUUAUGGGUAAGAGAUGGGCAUGCGUUCUAUUAGUUAGUUGGAGUGGUAACGGCACCCCAAGACAGCGAUAGAUAGGGGCCCUGAGAGGGGGAUCCCCCACACUGGUACUGAGACACGGACCAGACUCCUACGGGAGGCAGCAGUGAGGAAUAUUGGACAAUGGGCGAGAGCCUGAUCCAGCAAUGCCGCGUGCAGGAAGAAGGCCU
rnacentral:rRNA from 1 species